GAUGAACGCUGGCGGCGUGCCUAAUACAUGCAAGUAGAACGCUGAAGGAGGAGCUUGCUCUUCUGGAUGAGUUGCGAACAGGUGAGUAACGCGUAGGUAACCUGCCUGGUAGCGGGGGAUAACUAUUGGAAACGAUAGCUAAUACCGCAUGACAACAGUUAUUGCAUGAUAACUGUUUAAAAGGGGCAACUGCUCCACUACCAGAUGGACCUGCGUUGUAUUAGCUAGUUGGUGAGGUAACGGCUCACCAAGGCGACGAUACAUAGCCGACCUGAGAGGGUGAUCGGCCACACUGGGACUGAGACACGGCCCAGACUCCUACGGGAGGCAGCAGUAGGGAAUCUUCGGCAAUGGACGGAAGUCUGACCGAGCAACGCCGCGUGAGUGAAGAAGGGUGUCGGAUCGUAAAGCUCUGUUGUAAGAGAAGAACGAGUGUGAGAGUGGAAAGUUCACACUGUGACGGUAGCUUACCAGAAAGGGACGGCUAACUACGUG
rnacentral:rRNA from 1 species